UACGGAGGGUGCGAGCGUUGUCCGGAAUCAUUGGGCGUAAAGGGCGCGUAGGUGGCCUGCUAAGCGUGCGGUGAAAGCUCGGGGCUCAACCCCGAGUCGGCCGUGCGAACUGGUGGGCUUGAGCACUGUAGAGGCAGGCGGAAUUCCGGGUGUAGCGGUGGAAUGCGUAGAGAUCCGGAAGAACACCGGUGGCGAAGGCGGUCUGCUGGGGUGAGGCUGGACGCUGAUGCGCGACAGCGUGGGGGAGCAAACAGG
rnacentral:rRNA from 1 species